rnacentral:rRNA from 1 species
UACGAAGGGGGCUAGCGUUGUUCGGAAUUACUGGGCGUAAAGCGUGCGCAGGCGGCUUCUCAAGUCAGGGGUGAAAGCCCAGAGCUCAACUCUGGAAUUGCCUUUGAGACUGAGUGGCUUGAGUACGAGAGAGGUGAGUGGAAUUCCCAGUGUAGAGGUGAAAUUCGUAGAUAUUGGGAAGAACACCGGUGGCGAAGGCGGCUACACUGGCUCGUAACUGACGCUCAUGCACGACAGCGUGGGGAUCAAACAGG